rnacentral:tRNA from 1 species
GCCCGGGUGGCGAAACUGGUUUGACGCGGAGGACUUAAAAUCCUCUGUCCCGAAAGGGGCGUGCGGGUUCGAAUCCCGCCCCGGGCA